AGGCUGCGUCAGCAGUGGGCGUGUAUCUCAGUAGGGACGGGUUGCCUCGGCAAUGGCUGGCUGCAUCAGCAGUGGGCGUGUAUCUCAGUUGGGGCGGGUUGCCUCGGCAAUGGCUGGCUGCGUCAGCAGUGGGCGUGUAUCUCAGUUGGGGCGGGUUGCCUCGGUAGUGGUGGACGCCCCUUCCCCACAGAGCGUCUCGGACCGUCUGCUCGGGAUAGUUUGAAAUCGCGGUUUUGUUCAUCCCACAGGGGCUCCAAGAGGUUGAAGCUGCAGAUAAGAGAGAAGAUGCCUCAUGGAACAAAGUGCCCAGAGCAGUGGAAGAAAAUGAGAUUCUGAGUGAAUGUGAACAUGGAAAGAUUCGCUUGGAGAAGGAAGAUGCACCUCUUCCACUGAUCGGUGAACUUUCAGGAGGCCAGCUACACAGAAACUUAGGCAGCCUAUGGAGAGCCCCAUGUUGUGAAGAGGAAGGCCUGCCUCCUGCCAGCGGCCACUUGAGUGAGCCAUCAUGGAAGUGGCUCUUCCAGCCCCAGACAAACCUGCAGAACCUAAAGCCCUGCUUCACAUCCUGACUGGAACCUUAUGAGAAACUCUGAGCCCAACCCACCCAGCUAAGCCACUCCUGAGUUCCUGCCCCACAAAAACUAAGAUAAUAAAUGGUCAUUAUCUUAAGCUAGUAGAUUUUGGGGUAUUUUGUUAUAGAGCAAUAGGUAUUAUAAUUAGGCAAAUGAAACUCCCUAUAUUUCUCCCAAACCUGCUCCAUCUGCU
rnacentral:lncRNA from 1 species